GUUUAGUGGUAGCAGAACUAUCGUGCCCGAGUGGGGUGCAGUGGUUUCAGAGCAAGUAAAGGGAACUGCAGCUGCAGGGUGCGUGCUGGAUUGGGCAUUGUGAGUCUCCACAUUUCACAGAGAAGCUGCCCAGAAGGGAACUCGCAGCAGAGAACAUUGCUCUGUUCUGUGGAGCUGCAGGGGUUCUGUGCUUCUGCCCUUGCUCCGUGGGAACCCUGACUGCACAAGCACAAUGAAGGAAGGCUGUCAGCUGUCUCCUACUUCAGUGAUCCUGCAGCAGGUGAGGUUCAGUGUCUGCAGGUAAAAGCUCCGUGCAGCCUCCCACAUCACAUCCCCUCCUCCCUUACCGUUUUGUAGUGACAUUCCCAGCUGUAAACAGAUCAGACGGAGAUUUUUCCCAGGCUCUAUAAAUGCCAGCAGCAACAGAAGCUCUGGAUAAAGGGAAACGUGCUGUGUGGAACACAUGGUGUUUUCAUGGCUGAACACUGAGCAGUCCUUUGUCUGGUGCUGCUCCAAGAAAUGGCAGUGGUAAGGUUUGAAUUAUCCCUGGGUAAUGAUCCUAAACUUAGUUGACUUUCCCGUGCACAUUUAUGACUGCACUGACAAAUGCUUCCUGAACCCAGCAAAGCUCCAGGUAUUUGCUUCUGAGAUUAUUUGUUCUAGCGAAAUACUUUAGUCUAGAGUAAGUAGCA